rnacentral:rRNA from 1 species
CAGUCGCCGCGGGAAUACGAAGGGUGCAAGCGUUAAUCGGAAUUACUGGGCGUAAAGCGUGCGUAGGCGGUGAGUUAAGUCUGCUGUGAAAUCCCCGGGCUCAACCUGGGAAUGGCAAUGGAUACUGGCAAGCUAGAGUGUGUCAGAGGAUGGUGGAAUUCCCGGUGUAGCAGUGAAAUGCGUAGAGAUCGGGAGGAACAUCAGUGGCGAAGGCGGCCAUCUGGGACGACACUGACGCUGAGGCACGAAAGCGUGGGGAGCAAACAGGAUUAGAUACCCCAGUAGUCCCUGUCUCUUAUAC